rnacentral:rRNA from 1 species
AUUGAACGCUGGCGGCAGGCCUAACACAUGCAAGUCGAGCGGAUGAAGGGAGCUUGCUCCUGGAUUCAGCGGCGGACGGGUGAGUAAUGCCUAGGAAUCUGCCUGGUAGUGGGGGAUAACGUCCGGAAACGGGCGCUAAUACCGCAUACGUCCUGAGGGAGAAAGUGGGGGAUCUUCGGACCUCACGCUAUCAGAUGAGCCUAGGUCGGAUUAGCUAGUUGGUGGGGUAAAGGCCUACCAAGGCGACGAUCCGUAACUGGUCUGAGAGGAUGAUCAGUCGCACUGGAACUGAGACACGGUCCAGACUCCUACGGGAGGCAGCAGUGGGGAAUAUUGGACAAUGGGCGAAAGCCUGAUCCAGCCAUGCCGCGUGUGUGAAGAAGGUCUUCGGAUUGUAAAGCACUUUAAGUUGGGAGGAAGGGCAGUAAGUUAGUACCUUGCUGUUUUGACGUUACCAACAGAAUAAGCACCGGCUAACUUCGUG